CCUCUCAUGGCGUAGUGGUUAACGCUCCCCAACUAGAGAUCGGGGAGUCGUGAGUUCGAUUCUCACUGAGAAGA
rnacentral:tRNA from 1 species